rnacentral:rRNA from 1 species
GAUGAACGCUGGCGGCGUGCCUAACACAUGCAAGUCGAGCGAUUUACUUCGGUAAAGAGCGGCGGACGGGUGAGUAACGCGUGGGUAACCUGCCCUGUACACACGGAUAACAUACCGAAAGGUAUGCUAAUACGACAUAAUAUGCUUUUAUCGCAUGGUAGAAGUAUCAAAGCUUUUGCGGUACAGGAUGGACCCGCGUCUGAUUAGCUAGUUGGUAAGGUAACGGCUUACCAAGGCGACGAUCAGUAGCCGACCUGAGAGGGUGAUCGGCCACAUUGGAACUGAGACACGGUCCAAACUCCUACGGGAGGCAGCAGUGGGGAAUAUUGCACAAUGGGCGAAAGCCUGAUGCAGCAACGCCGCGUGAGUGAUGAAGGCCUUCGGGUCGUAAAGCUCUGUCCUCAAGGAAGAUAAUGACGGUACUUGAGGAGGAAGACCCGGCUAACUACGUGCCAGCCGCCGCCGUAA